rnacentral:rRNA from 1 species
UACGGGAGGCAGCAGUGGGGAAUAUUGGACAAUGGGCGAAAGCCUGAUCCAGCCAUGCCGCGUGUAUGAAGAAGGCCUUCGGGUUGUAAAGUACUUUCAGUCGUGAGGAAGGUGUUAAGGUUAAUAACCUUAGCAAUUGACGUUAGCGACAGAAGAAGCACCGGCUAACUCCGUGCCAGCAGCCGCGGUAAUACGGAGGGUGCGAGCGUUAAUCGGAAUUACUGGGCGUAAAGGGCACGCAGGCGGUUAAUUAAGUUGGAUGUGAAAUCCCCGGGCUUAACCUGGGAAUGGCAUUCAAGACUGGUUAGCUAGAGUCUUUGUAGAGGGGGGUUAGAAAUUCCGAUGUGUAGCGGUGAAAUGCGUAGAGAUGUGGAGGAAUACCGGUGGCGAAGGCGGCCCCUGGACAAAGACUGACGCUCAUGUGCGAAAGCGUGGGGAGCAAACGAGGAUUAGAUACC